ACGGUACUUGCAAGAAAGGUGUCUCCAAACGCACUUGUCAUUGACGAAUUCAGUUCAUUCAUAAACGUAUUCAGCGUAGAGUUCAAAGAAAGUGUAGUAUUAUGAAUGGAACCAAACAUAUUGUUAUUGAUGUUUUCUUGAUUUUUUAAAAUAAUUUGGUUAGUUGAAUUAGCCCAUGCUACUGAAACAUUUGCUAAAGCAGAUUCAACUUUAUGAAAUGAAUUUUGCGCUAGAGCACUGAUUACUGAACCAUCUUCACGAAUAUUGUUGAGAAGUACCAGCUGUAGAAUGCCAGAAAUAAAGGAAGUGCAACUAAUAAAAAGAAUCAUUGCGGCAGGGGGAUGAAAUAUAUAUGUGAUGAACCAUCGAAGUUGCACACUUAAAAAACAAGGUAAAGGAAGAGCUGAAAUAAAAUAUUUUAAG